GCUAGAACACGUAGCUAACCUACCCUUGGGACGGGUAAACCCCGGGAAACUGAGGUUAAUACCCGAUAGGUGUGAAUUCAUGAAAUGGCUCCACGCCCAAAUGUAAACGCAUCCACGUUUGCGUACACGCCCAAGGAUGGGGCUGCGGCCGAUCAGGCAGUUGGUGAGGUAACGGCUCACCAAACCUUUGACCGGUACGGGCCAUGAGAGUGGUAGCCCGGAGAUGGGCACUGAGACAAGGGCCCAGGCCCUACGGGGCGCAGCAGGCGCGAAACCUCACAAUUCACGAAAGUGAGAUGGGGUUACCUCGAGUGCCGCCUGAUGAAGGCGGCUUUUCUAUUGUGUAAUGAGCCGUGGGAAUAAGAGGGGGGCAAGACUGGUGUCAGCCGCCGCGGUAACACCAGCCCCUCGAGUGGUGGGGAUGAUUAUUUGGCCUAAAGCGUCCGUAGCUGGCCCUGUAAAUCUCUCGUUAAAUCCAACGUCCUAAGCGUUGGGCUGCGAGGGAAACUGCAGAGCUAGAGGGUGGGAGAGGUCAGCGGUAUUCCUGGGGUAGGGGCGAAAUCCAUUGAUCCCAGGAGGACCACCAGUGGCGAAGGCUGCUGACUUGAACACGCCUGACAGUGAGGGACGAAAGCUGGGGUAGCGAAUCGGAUUAGAUACCCGAGUAGUCCCAGCCGU
rnacentral:rRNA from 1 species